AUUUAUCAUGUUCAUCCAUUUGAAUCUUGUAAAGAAAGAGUUUACAUUGUGAUUUACUUUAUUAUUUUUGUAUUGCUUGUACAUGUUAUUUCUAAGAGCUCUGAACUGUGAGGGUGUGUCGAGCUAGAGAGCAUGGUAGCUGAUGGCAGAAACUCUUUGAUUAGCGCCCUUGGAGAAGCGGAAUGAGUUUUCACGGUGUUCAUGGUGCAUGGUGCUCGUUGAGAGGAAGAAAUAAAUUGACACCCGUUUGAAACUC